rnacentral:rRNA from 1 species
GUGUCAGCAGCCGCGGUAAUACGUAGGGGGCGAGCGUUGUCCGGAAUUACUGGGUGUAAAGGGCGUGUAGGCGGGGAUGCAAGUUACCGGUAAAAACCCGAGGCUCAACCACGGGCUUGCCGAUAAAACUGUAUCUCUUGAGUAUAGGAGAGGGAAGUGGAAUUUCCGGAGUAGCGGUGAAAUGCGUAGAUACCGGGAAGAACACCAGUGGCGAAGGCGGCUUCCUGGCCUAUCACUGACGCUGAGGCGCGAAAGCUAGGGUAGCGAACGGGAUUAGAUACCCCGGUAGUCCUAGCCGUAAACGAUGGUCACUAGGUGUGGGUGGUGGUCAAGCCAUCCGUGCCGGAGCUAACGCAAUAAGUGACCCACCUGGGGAGUACGGCCGCAAGGUUGAAACUUAAAUGAAUUGGCGG